AUUGAACGCUGGCGGCAUGCCUUACACAUGCAAGUCGAACGGUAACGCGGGGCAACCUGGCGACGAGUGGCGAACGGGUGAGUAAUGUAUCGGAACGUGCCCAGUCGUGGGGGAUAACUGCUCGAAAGAGCAGCUAAUACCGCAUACGACCUGAGGGUGAAAGCGGGGGAUCGCAGGACCUCGCGCAGUUGGAGCGGCCGAUAUCAGAUUAGGUAGUUGGUGGGGUAAAGGCUCACCAAGCCAACGAUCUGUAGCUGGUCUGAGAGGACGACCAGCCACACUGGGACUGAGACACGGCCCAGACUCCUACGGGAGGCAGCAGUGGGGAAUUUUGGACAAUGGGCGCAAGCCUGAUCCAGCCAUGCCGCGUGCGGGAAGAAGGCCUUCGGGUUGUAAACCGCUAUUGUCAGGGAAGAAAAGACUCCUGUUAAUACCGGGGGUUCAUGACGGUACCUGAAGAAUAAGCACCGGCUAACUACGUGCCAGCCGCCGCGGUAA
rnacentral:rRNA from 1 species